GGUUCAAGUCCCUCUAUCCCCAAAAAGACCAUUUGACUCCCUAAUUAUUGCUCGUAUCCUUU
rnacentral:tRNA from 8 species